rnacentral:rRNA from 1 species
UAAAGUAAGAAAGAGCGUAUGGCGGAUGCCUAGGCACAGAGAGGCGAAGAAGGACGCAGCAAACAGCGAAAUGCGACGGUUAGCAGUAAGCAUGCAACGAUCCGUCGAUGUCCGAAUGGGGGAACCCACCUGGAGUAGAGACCAGGUAUCCUGAAGUGAAUAAAUAGCUUCAGAGAGGCGAGACUCAGGGAACUGAAACAUCUAAGUACCUGAAGGAAGAGAAAAUAAACGAAUGAUUCCCUAAGUAGCGGCGAGCGAAAGGGGAAGAGCCCAAACCGAUCUUAGGAUCGGGGUUGUAGGACUGUCGGCAAAGAGCAAGAAAUCAUUAUAGGCGAACGGAAUGGGAAGUCCGGCGAAACAGGGUGACAGCCCCGUAGCCGAAAUAGUGAAGAAGCACGAGACAGCACCUGAGUACGGCGGGACACGAGGAAUCCUGUCGGAAUCCACCAGGACCAUCUGGUAAGGCUAAAUACUCCUCUGUGACCGAUAGUGAACCAGUACCGUGAGGGAAAGGUGAAAAGAACCCCGGGAGGGGAGUGAAAUAGAACCUGAAACCAUAUGCUUACAAGAAGUUAGAGCCCGUUAAAGGGUGAUAGCGUGCCUUUUGUAGAAUGAACCGGCGAGUUACGAUAUGGAGCGAGGUUAAGCAGGAUAUGCGGAGCCGAAGCGAAAGCGAGUCUUAAUAGGGCGAAAGUUGCAUGUCGUAGACCCGAAACCGAGUGAUCUAGCCAUGACCAGGUUGAAGUUGGGGUAAAACCCGAUGGAGGACCGAACCGACCCCCGUUGAAACGUUGGCGGAUGAGUUGUGGCUAGGGGUGAAAUUCCAAUCGAACUCGGAGAUAGCUGGUUCUCCCCGAAAUAGCUUUAGGGCUAGCGUCGAGGUAAAGUCGUGUGAAGGUAGAGCACUGAAUAUGUGAUGGCCCCAUCUCGGGGUACUGAACAUAAUCAAACUCCGAAUGUCACAAAGAUAUACUCGGCAGUCAGACAGUGGGUGAUAAGGUCCAUUGUCAAAAGGGAAACAGCCCAGACCAUCAGCUAAGGUCCCAAAAUAUAUACUAAGUGGAAAAGGAUGUGGAGAUGUCCAGACAACUAGGAGGUUGGCUCAGAAGCAGCCAUCCUUUAAAGAGUGCGUAACAGCUCACUAGUCGAAUGACUCUGCGCCGAUAAUUUACCGGGGCUAAGUAUAUUACCGAAGCUAUGGAUUUACGCGUAAGCGUGAGUGGUAGGGGAGCGUUCUAUGUGCGGAGAAGCGGUACCGUAAGGAGCCGUGGAGCGCAUAGAAGAGAGAAUGCCGGUGUGAGUAGCGAAACGUGGGUGAGAAUCCCACGCACCGAAAACCCAAGGUUUCCAGAGGAAGGUUCGUCCGCUCUGGGUAAGUCGGGACCUAAGGCGAGGCCGAGAGGCGUAGUCGAUGGACAACAGGUAGAGAUUCCUGUACUUACGGUAUGAAUGAUGGAGUGACGGAGAAGGCUAGCGGAUCCUGCUGAUGGAAAUGCAGGUGCAAGCGAGGUAGCCGACAGCCAGGCAAAUCCGGCUGUCGAAAGGCAAAGGCGUGAGGCGUAUGGAAAGCUGCGGCAAGUACAGAAGUCCGUGAAGCCAGCUUCCAAGAAAAGCUUCUAGUGAUAAUCAUACAGUAACCCGUACCGAAAAUGGACACACAUGGGUGAGGAGAGAAUCCUAAGGUGAGCGAGAGAACUAUAGCUAAGGAACUCUGCAAAAUGACUCCGUAACUUAGGGAUAAGGAGUGCUCAUAGAGAUAUGAGCCGCAGUGAAACGGCCCAAGCGACUGUUUACCAAAAACACAGCUCUAUGCUAAGUCGAAAGACGACGUAUAUGGGGUGACGCCUGCCCGGUGCUGGAAGGUUAAGAGGAUGUGUCAGCGCAAGCGAAGCAUUGAAUUGAAGCCCCAGUAAACGGCGGCCGUAACUAUAACGGUCCUAAGGUAGCGAAAUUCCUUGUCAGGUAAGUUCUGACCCGC